CGCCGCCGCCGCCGCGCCGCGGCUUGAGGGCGGGAGGCUGGGGGAGGGUAGCGGAGCCGGCGCUGCCGCCAUGUUGGGUCUGAGGCGGCUGCUGUAGGCGCCGACGGAGCAAGUGGGCGAGCAGAACGGCCACAGCGGCGUGGGAUCUGCCUCUCUGCGAGCGGCCGGGAGCGGCGGCGGCGGCGGCGCCAUGAGCGGGGGCACCCCUUACAUCGGCAGCAAGAUCAGCCUUAUCUCCAAGGCGGAGAUCCGCUACGAGGGCAUCCUCUACACUAUCGACACCGAGAACUCUACCGUAGCUCUCGCCAAAGUUCGCUCCUUUGGUACAGAAGACAGACCAACAGAUCGUCCAAUACCACCUCGAGAUGAAGUCUUUGAAUACAUAAUUUUCCGUGGGAGUGAUAUUAAAGACCUUACUGUUUGUGAGCCACCAAAACCACAAUGUUCUUUGCCUCAGGACCCAGCUAUUGUUCAGUCUUCACUAGGUUCAUCUACUUCUUCAUUCCAGUCAGUGGGCUCCUAUGGACCUUUUGGCAGGAUGCCAACGUACAGUCAGUUCAGUCCAAGUUCAUUAGUUGGGCAGCAGUUUGGGGCUGUUGGUGUUGCCGGAAGCUCCUUGACAUCCUUUGGAACAGAAGCAUCAAGCAGCAGUGCCCUCUCCCAAAGUAGUGCGGUUGGUUCUGCCUUUACACAGGAUUCAAGAGCUCUAAAAACACAGCUAUCUCAAGGUCGUUCAAGCCCUCAGUUAGACCCUUUGAGAAAAAGCCCAACCAUGGAACAAGCAGUACAGACCGCCUCGGCUCACUUACCUGCUCCAGCACCUGUUGGGAGAAGGAGCCCUGUAUCAACCAGGCCUUUACCAUCUACCAGCCAAAAACCAAUAGAGAAUCAAGAGCACAGGCGAGCUGAAGUACAUAAAGUCUCAAGACCAGAAAAUGAGCAACUCAGAAAUGAUAGCAAGAGACAAAUAGUUCCAGGUGCUCCUUCAGCUCCAAGGAGAGGGCGUGGGGGUCAUCGAGGUGGCAGAGGAAGAUUUGGUAUUCGACGAGAUGGUCCAAUGAAAUUUGAGAAAGAUUUUGACUUUGAAAGUGCAAAUGCACAAUUUAACAAGGAGGAAAUUGACAGAGAGUUUCAUAAUAAACUUAAAUUGAAAGAAGAUAAACUUGAGAAACAGGAGAAGCCUGUCAAUGGUGAAGAUAAAGGAGACUCAGGAGUUGAUACUCAAAACAGUGAAGGAAAUGCAGAUGAAGAAGAUCCACUUGGACCUAAUUGCUAUUAUGACAAAACUAAAUCCUUCUUUGAUAAUAUUUCUUGUGAUGAUAAUAGAGAACGGAGACCAACCUGGGCUGAAGAGAGAAGAUUAAAUGCAGAAACAUUUGGAAUCCCGCUUCGUCCAAACCGUGGCCGUGGAGGGUACAGAGGCAGAGGGGGUCUUGGUUUCCGUGGUGGCCGAGGGCGUGGCAGUGGCCGAGGCGGUGCCUUCCCCACUCCUCGAGGAUUUCGUGGUGGAUUCAGAGGAGGUCGUGGGGGCAGGGAGUUUGCAGAUUUUGAGUAUAGGAACGCCUAUGCCAGCGUGGAGCCAUAGUGAGCUUGAAAUCCUAGACCUUCUCAGCAGCGUAUUCGUUCCAAAUCAUACCGUCUGGCACCUUUAAAAGUGGAAAUAGUGAGAGACCAGUAUUACAUAAAGGAGAUUUAUCUUCAAAGGAUUAAACAUGUUCUGAAACAUCUAGUAUUUCUCAGAGAUGAAGUGCAAUGACAUUUGCAGCAGCCUUCAUGUAAUGGAAAGACAACAAAGUUGCUGCAUAGUCUACAAACAAGUCUUUGGAAAUAGAUGGAUUUCUAGUUCUUCGUGGUCCUGAGAAUUGGUUUCAGUCUUUGAGAACAAUGAAGACGUGAAGUUGCUGUAUAUUUGUCACCAGCACUGGGUUUUUGUUUGUUUGUUUUUCUGCUUAAUUUCAGAGAUACAAUGCAGUUACUUUUGGGGGUGGGGGGAAGGCUCAUCUUAAAAAAUGAGCAUUAAUUAUAUUUGGAAUAGCAGAAGGUUAAGUAAUUUCUUAUGUAUAGUUAAACUAAAGCAGUACUCCAGUGAAACUUAUAAGUAUUUUUUCAUCACUGAAAGGAUUUUCUUAUCACUAAAUUGUAUUUGGCGAUUCCUGCAAGUUACCUGCAGAUAGGGCCGUGAUACUGUGUUUUGAGCCACAGAAGGGUGUGUGUGUGUAUGUGUGUAUGUGUCUGUCUGUAUCUUUUCUUUGCUUUUUUCUUUUUUUUCUUUCUUUCUUUUUUGGAAAUCCUGUAAUAUCCCUUUUGAGGUAGCUUAUUUCAUCAAUUAAUUAGGGUGCUGGAUGGUAGAGACUUUUGUCAGUCAACUAUGUACACACAGUAAAUACUGUUUCUUAGGCAAAGGUAACUUUUUAUAGAGUUGUAAAAUUCCAUUAUAUUCCAUUGCCAAAGAAACAUUAAGAACUUUGUAUAGCUGUAUAAAAAGCAACUAAUUUUUUAAAGAAUAAACAUUUUAAAGUCAGCAAACAUACUGUGUCCUUGCAGAAGUUGAUGUGCUGAGGAGCAGAACUGUGGGUGGGUCUUUUUUCAUAGCUUUUCAGGCUUAAGAUUGUUGAUUUGAUUUUUUUUUUUUAAUAUUUGGAACAUAAAUGAAGAUUUGAUACAUUCAUUAUCUAAAAAGGAUAAAUUACUCAUGCUUGUUGUAAGAAGUUUAUUUUGUAGCAAAUGGCAUAUCACAGGAUUUAUCCAAAUAAUAGAUAUUUUCAGUAUACAAAUGUAAAUAAUCAUAGAUAAGAAUGUAUUAGCUGUAUUUUCAAAUAAGUAUCCCCCCUUUUUUAAGACAAUAAAACUAGGUGUCAAUUAA